UGAUAAUGAGCUCCUUUCUUUAAAACAUUUUCUAUUUUUGCCAGGUGCAGUGGCUCACGCCUGUAAUCCCAGCACUUUGGGAGGCCGAGGUGGGCAGAUUACGAGAUCAGCAGAUCGAUUGGUAUCUCCUGGCUAACACGGAUUUGCCAGUUUUAUCUCCAAGACUGAUGACUUCAAACAAGAACACCCCAGAACAUAUUGGAACAUUUUGACCUGAUGACGACUCCUCUUAUACAAGACCCGUUGCACCCUUCUUUGAUAAGUGAGAGUGCUGGUUUAUCCACUUUGCCUAAUUAAUUAUCUUUAUCUUGCUAGAUGUCACACUGCAAAAAUGUCCACUUACACUUUUUACCCAGUUAGAGCUCACCCUCUUUUUUCCCCCAAACUUCAAUUCUCUGCUCCAAUUAUUCUCAAAAUAUUUCCAUGUUUGUUUGUAUCACCUAAAAGCAUUUUUUUCAUUGAAUAAAUAUUUAUUUAUUUAGUACCACCACAUGCAUGGCAUAGCUAGGGAUGAGAGAGAAGAGGGAGAGAAGGAGGCUUAAUUUAAAGAAAAAACAGGGGGCAGGGCGCGGUGGCUCACGUCUGUAAUCCCAGCAAUUUGGGAGGCCGAGGCGGGCAGAUCACGAGGUCAGGAGAUUGAGACCAUCCUGGCUGAUACAGUGAAACCCUGUCUCUACUAAAAAUUACAAAAAAAAAAAAAAAAAAAAAAAAAAAAAAUUAGCCAGGCAUGGUGGUGGGCACCUGUAGUCCCAGCUGCUCGGGAGGCGAGGCAGGAGAAUGGCGUGAACCCAGGAGGCAGAACUUACAGUGAGCCGCGAUCGUGCCACUGCACUCCAGCCUGGGUGACAGAGCCAGACUCCGUCUCAAAAAAAAAAAGAAAAAGGAAAAAAAAGAAAAAACAAAUAUUGAUCAUGUUCUUGAGGUGAUUACAAACUAGCAUAGCCAUGUGCAUAAGUAACCAUAUCUAAUGAGGUUUUUAAAUAGUAAUUGUUACCAAAAGAAAGAAACAAAAAGAACAUUUAGAAAACUCAAGGCAGAAAGCAAUGACAAACACUUAAAGAGUUCAUGGAAGAAUAGAAAUGAACCUGGCAAUGAAGGACAUGGAGUAAUUGAACAUGGUGUGAUUAACAGAAAGACUUCAAGGCAGAUAGAAACAUUUAGGAGCAAUUUUUUUCUUUAAUUACAAAAGCAAAAUGCUUCAUGAUAGACCAGAAACCAAACUUGUAGGCAGAAAAGCUAAAGGUUUUAGUGUAGAGAUAAAUGGGGGUGGGGAGUGGUAGAGAAACCGGAGAAUAACAUCAUUUGUAGCACUUCCAAGUAUGUAUCUACAAAAUCUGUUCAUUCUUUAAAAUAAAUACAAUUAAAAGGCAGCCAAAUUCCCCUAAGGUUUCUAAUUUUAGUAGCCUAUGAGACAUCAGGCACAGGCCUUCAUGGCAUACACAGACAGCCAACAGAGAUGGCAUUGGGUAGUGUGCCCCAAUCCCUGGAUCACACAGUGUUAAAGGAUAGUAGAGGCAAAAGACAUCCUCUCAGUGUGACAUAAUGAUUGGCAGGAAGACCACUUUGUCCCAGAAAAUCUCUCCCAUAAAAGGGGUGAGAGGGAUUGAAACUCUAGAGUUAAUUACCAUGUAUUGAGAGUGUACUCUUGGGCACAUUUAUUUAUUCAUUCAUUCAAUUUGUCCUUGGACACCUACCUACUUUAUGACAGGUAUUGUGCUAUGCCAAGAAUGCAAAACUGAAAAAGAUAAUCUAGCAUAUAUAUGUUCUACCCUUCCCUCCUCUAUGAGUUCACUCUGCCACCACCACAUGCAUACAUUGCAGUGUCCUUCAGUUGGCUUUUUAAAAUCCUUUAGGCCUCAGUUUUAAUUUAUGUCGUAUCCCUUUAUUCCAUAAAGAUGUUCUCCCCUUCUAUUUUCUCUCAAAGAAAUCUGCUCUUUUUUUUUUUUAUCUUGGAUACCUUUCUCCCAACAUGCCAUUAUAUUCUUAUUUGUUGAUGUGUCCCUGCUAGAAUAGAAUUACUUUUCUCUGAGGAAGAAACCCAAUUUGUUUUGUUUCCUAUUAUAUAUUAAAUGUCUCACAAAGUGCUGUUGCACUGUAGAUGUUCUAAAAGUUAUGGUAAACUUAUUAAUGAACAUGCGUUCAGGAGGGAAACCACCACUGAGCUGAGAAUUAGGUAUGCUGUGAACUCUUGUCUCCUACUCAUUAUAGGUGAUCAACAGUCCCAGUUUGGCCAGAACUUAGGCAUUUCCCAGGAACAAAGGAUUCUCACUACUUAGGGUUAACUGAGAUGGUUGGUCAUCCUUGCAAAUGAGAGGCAUGAUUUGCAGGAUAAUAGACAUUACAAUGUAUGACUGGAAUUGUAGUAAUAUAAUUUACAUUUGGAUCAUACUUUCUAGUUUUUAAGAGAUCAUUCAACAAUAACAUCUCCCUGUUCCUUCACAAUCCUUUGAGAUAGAAAGGAAAGAGGCUAUGACCUUUAUGUUAUAGAUGAUGAAACUGAAGCUCAGAGAAUUUAACAGAUCUCUCCAGAGUCACUUGUCUAAUAAAUACAGACAUGGUACUGGAAGCCAUGCCUUUGGAAAGAUUCCUACUGCUAUGCCUGAUCCAACCAGUCACACUGAAUAACCAACUCACAUAGGAAUUAAACCUGUGACCUUGGCCUAAUUAACAUCACAUUUCUAGCAACUGUGCAAUCUGAGACAAGUGGAUAUUCGUAGCCAACAAACCCGAAAUAUAGCUACAUAAGCUCUUUUAUCACUUCUGUAACAAGCACAAUAUGUCUGUAUCAGGAGUGUUUUCUCUGAACUGGUAUAUUCUCCAGAUCUUUGAAAUGUUUUUAGCUGUAUGUUUUAGAUUUUCAAUGUAAUGUUGUUGUUGUUGUCGUUAACUGUUUUCUUGCCACCAUCUCAUUAUAUGUGUGACCUAUGUCUACUCUUUGAAGCUCACUCUAUCAUUUUGUGACCCCUGUGUAUACAUAGGGCUUCACUAAUGAUAGGAAUGUUUUCCUUUACCCAUUGUUCAGCUCUGAAAGAGCCCUGAGAAAUGACCAACUGUAGGUAAUUAGAAGCUACUGAAAUUAAAUAUAAGAAAAUGUAUUCCCCUAAAAAAGCAGAAGGCAAAAAAUAAAACUUAGGACAAGGAUCUAAAAGGAUGUUUUUUAAGCAGUUAGAAUGUAAUGAAUAUAAGUAAAACUAGCCAUAUUUUUAAAAUGUGGAUAUUUACUAAUAAACUUGUUCCCUGUGUGGCCACUUAGGAAAAUCAUCACUCAUUAGUUGUCUUCUGGAUGAGGUAGGACUAUUCUGACAAGAGAGUCACUAAGGGUCAAAAGUAAAGAUCUACAAGCUAAAAAGACAUGACAUAUUAGAAUGAGUCAAUGCUUUUUCAUCUUUAUGUUAGAAAACUUUAACCUCUAGCUUACCUGAGAGUGAAGCUACAGUAAAUAUGAAACCCAUUAAGAAUUAAACCAAAGCAUGUAGUGUGUACAGUGAACACCUUCCAUAAAUAAAUUGGUUAAGGGAGAUCUAUAUCAUUUUUCUUCCAAUUUGGGUGGGAAAGGGAAAUAACAGAAAGACUAUUGAUUUGGAACUCAAAAAUUACAUUAUACUGAUCUCAAAUUUGAAAAGAAGAUAUCUAUUUGGAUAAUCGCGAUCUGGGAAUAAGUAUAAGAAAACGUCUUUCUCAAUGAUAAGCCUGAUUGCAGCUCUUGCUGACAAGUAUAAUAAAGGUUUUCUAACCAAGAAUGAACUUCUGCCCUCAUCCACUUGCUUUAUUUUAUGCAGACCUCAAAGGGUGAUCCACACAUUUGAAAGCAGAUGGGAAAUAAAAAGCAGGGCACUCCCAUUCUAAUCCUCCUGUUUUUCUAGGGCAUCUCUCUUCUUUCAUGGGUGCUUACUUCUUUUUAUUUCGAAGGACUAAGUGUUUUUUAGCUUCCGGAAUGAUCAUUUUUCAUACAUGGAUGAAAAGAAAACAGUAAGAAUUCUUGUCAUUAAGGCUAUUUUACUUCAAGGCCAAGAAGAAAAUUGUCAAAGAACCAAAGGCCUUCUGCUAGUAAAUGCUUUUAAUUUAACUAUUCUCCCCA
rnacentral:lncRNA from 1 species